rnacentral:rRNA from 1 species
UACGUAGGGGGCUAGCGUUGUCCGGAUUUAUUGGGCGUAAAGAGCGUGUAGGCGGCCAGAUAGGUCUGCUGUGAAAACUCGAGGCUCAACCUCGAGAUGUCGGCGGAAACCAUUUGGCUAGAGUCCGGAAGAGGAAAGUGGAAUUCCCAGUGUAGCGGUGAAAUGCGUAGAUAUUGGGAGGAACACCGGUGGCGAAGGCGGCCCCCUGGACCGGUACUGACGCUGAGGCGCGAAAGCGUGGGUAGCAAACGGG